GGGACCCUGGGAUAGAUAAAUGACCUCAGCCAAAGACACACGAAUGUGAAUGAAUCAACCUUGAUUCAUCCCAUGUGACAAAACCUACAGUAAGAAACUAACUAGGGGUCUGGUGUCAUGGCAUAAGCACACUAAGAUUCUAUAUACGUGCCAGUUCAUGUCCCAGUUGCUCCACUUCCCCUCCAGUUCCCUGCUUAUGGCCUGAGAAAGGCAACAG